GGGGGGUCACGUGACCUCGACCUUUAGCGAAAAAACUUUUCCGCUAAAUUUAGCGGGGAAAAUGUUCCGCUAAAUCUAGCGGGGAAAAUUUUCCGCUAUAUUUAGCGGGGAAUAUUUUCCGCUAGAUUUAGCGGGGAAAAUUUCCCGCUAGAUUUAGCGGGGAAAUUUUCCCGCUAGAUUUAGCGCUGAAAAUUUUCCGCUAAAUUUAG
rnacentral:SRP_RNA from 1 species